rnacentral:rRNA from 1 species
CCUACGGGGGGCAGCAGUGGGGAAUAUUGGACAAUGGGGGGAACCCUGAUCCAGCCAUGCCGCGUGUGUGAAGAAGGCCCUCGGGUUGUAAAGCACUUUCAGUGAGGAAGAACGCCUGGUGGUUAAUACCCAUCAGGAAAGACAUCACUCACAGAAGAAGCACCGGCUAACUCCGUGCCAGCAGCCGCGGUAAUACGGAGGGUGCGGGCGUUAAUCGGAAUUACUGGGCGUAAAGCGCGCGUAGGUGGCUUGAUAAGCCGGUUGUGAAAGCCCCGGGCUCAACCUGGGAACGGCAUCCGGAACUGUCAAGCUAGAGUGCAGGAGAGGAAGGUAGAAUUCCCGGUGUAGCGGUGAAAUGCGUAGAGAUCGGGAGGAAUACCAGUGGCGAAGGCGGCCUUCUGGACUGACACUGACACUGAGGUGCGAAAGCGUGGGUAGCAAACAGGAUUAGAUACCCUUGUAGUC